CCGUCACAACGGCUUCCUGACGUGGCGGAGCAACAUAUUUGGAGCA
rnacentral:ncRNA from 1 species